UACGUAGGGGGCAAGCGUUGUCCGGAAUCAUUGGGCGUAAAGAGCGUGUAGGCGGUCCGGUCAGUCGGUUGUGAAAGUCAAGGGCUCAACCCUUGAAUGCCGGCCGAUACUGCCGGGCUAGAGUCCGGAAGAGGUGAGUGGAAUUCCUGGUGUAGCGGUGAAAUGCGCAGAUAUCAGGAGGAACACCGAUGGCGAAGGCAGCUCACUGGGACGGUACUGACGCUGAGACGCGAAAGCGUGGGGGAGCGAACAGG
rnacentral:rRNA from 1 species